rnacentral:rRNA from 1 species
CCUACGGGGGGCAGCAGGGGGGAAUAUUGGACAAUGGGGGCAACCCUGAUCCAGCCAUGCCGCGUGUGUGAAGAAGGCCCUCGGGUUGUAAAGCACUUUCAGUGAGGAAGAACGCCUGGUGGUUAAUACCCAUCAGGAAAGACAUCACUCACAGAAGAAGCACCGGCUAACUCCGUGCCAGCAGCCGCGGGAAUACGGAGGGUGCGAGCGUUAAUCGGAAUUACUGGGCGUAAAGCGCGCGUAGGUGGCUUGAUAAGCCGGUUGUGAAAGCCCCGGGCUCAACCUGGGAACGGCAUCCGGAACUGUCGAGCUAGAGUGCAGGAAAGGAAAGUAGAAUUCCCGGUGUAGCGGUGAAAUGCGUAGAGAUCGGGAGGAAUACCAGUGGCGAAGGCGGCCUUCUGGACUGACACUGACACUGAGGUGCGAAAGCGUGGGUAGCAAACAGGAUUAGAUACCCUAGUAGUC